rfam:Rhodosporidium toruloides NP11 unplaced genomic scaffold Scaffold11, whole genome shotgun sequence.
GGGCGCAUAGUCAAGUGGUCUUAAGACGCCAGUCUUCGAUAACAGCCUGCGCGCUGUUUCAGAGUCGAACUGGAGAUCGUGGGUUCAAAUCCCACUGUGCUCG